rnacentral:rRNA from 1 species
CGGACGGGUGAGUAACACGUAGAUAACCUGCCCUACAGUGGGGAAUAACCACUCGAAAGAGUGGCUAAUACCGCAUAAGUUCUCUUUCGUUAGAAGGAGAGGAAACCUUUUCCGUGACAGGAGAGGGGCUGAAGGAGGGGUCUGCGGCGGAUUAGCUAGUUGGUGGGGUAACGGCCUACCAAGGCGACGAUCCGUAGCUGGUCUGAGAGGACGGCCAGCCACACUGGGACUGAGACACGGCCCAG